AUGGUACGAGAGCCCCUCUCUUCCAACACAUCUAGCUACCUUCCUCAACCUCCUGUCAUGGUGCCCUCCUCUAGAUCCACCACAAACUUUUCCCUCAACUCCCAAGUUUCAGAAAAACUCACUAGAACCAACUUCAUCCUAUGGCAUGCUCAAGUGCUAUCGCAGAUUCGAGCUGCGAGCAUGUAUGGCUACCUAGACAAAACCUAUCCCGAACCACCCAAAACAAUCACCACCAAAGACAGCGCCGGCAAGGAUCAAGUCAUCAUCAACCCUGAGUACACCGUCUGGGCAAGGGAGUACCAGCAGGUGCCCUCCUACUUGCUCAAUAAUCUCUUCAAGGAGGUCCUGAUUCAAGUCGCCUCUCAUGAGAAGGCUCAUGUGAUCUGGGAUGCCCUGAUAAGCAUGUUCGCCUCCACAUCAAGGUCCCGCAUCAACAAUAUCCGCAUCAACCUGAUGAAUGCGCAGAAGUGGAGCCAAUCUGCGGCUGCCUACUUCGGCCACAUGAGAUCCCUCGCGGACGAGCUGGCCAUGGCCGGCGAUCCCAUCACUCCCAAUCAGCUCAUCUCCUUCAUCAUCGCUGGUUGGGACAUGGACUACCAGCCCAUCGUCUCUGCACUUGAUGUCCGCACCAACGACGUCUCUGUUGACGAGCUUUUUUCCAUGGUGAGCAACUUUGAUCAACCAGUAUAA
rnacentral:rRNA from 1 species